rnacentral:tRNA from 1 species
UCCAAGCGGCUCAGUGGUAAAGAGUCUGCCUGCAAUGCAGGAGACACAGGUUCGAUCCCUGGGUUGGGAA